AUGGAUAUGUAAUUUAAUACAGCCCGAGCUACGAAUGUUUUUUUAUUUAUUCGUUCUUAUUUUCUCCGCAAUAUUAUUUUCGUCGUUGACUUUCCCUCGUAUCCGUGUAGAAAUUCAGGGGACGUGUAACAACCGCGUUGGUGUAUCGAGCAUGCAGAAUAUUCGGUCUUAGAGUCGCGGAGAACUGAGGUUAUGUUUGCUCGGAAAAAAGCCGUUGUUGCUGUUCGCGUGCUUUUUGUUUUUCGAACGGUUUUGAAUGUGUAGCGCUGUUCACAGCGAAUCAGGCACGUCGCACGGGAGUGUGGGGGCUGUGGAGAGGGUAAAACCCCGCCUACUUAAAGUCUUGACCAAUAAACUCGAUCGCUCGUCCCCACGAUUUCUAUCAGCGCCACAGGAUUGGAAAACUCAAAGUAACGGCUAUUUUGCUAACGAUCCACCGCUGGACAAACAGGCUGCAGUAUUUUAUCUCAGGAUUGUUUGUUUUACUCUUUACCGUCCAACGUAAUUUUCGAGACACGAAAUAACUUUUUAUUUGAAAAUUGUCAAAGCUAACUUUUCACUGCACUCGGCGAACGUGACUCGAGACAAGCUGCAGAAAGCUUGCGCAUAUUCGUUCGUGUAUACAUUCGUAACGCGUUUCGGCUGGUUCGUUUCGAAAGUUGGCCGGCUUCGGUUUCAAUCCUGUUUCCUCCCGCGGGAAAAGUGCCGAAUUGAAUAAUCGAAUUUUUCGUGGAUACAAGCCGCCCGGACAUUAGAUCAUACUUUUCUGUGCAUUAAGCGGGAUCGCGUGGAUUCGGAAAAGUUUUUGUCCGCGUUUAUACAUUCGCACAUGCGACUCUUUCUUUCUGUCUCCCGAUGUGCGGUGAUUCUCGGUCAUCCAAGCGGAACUUUAUAUACAUAUAUAUAACGAAGGAGCUGUUUUUACUAGCGACGAUGGCCAACAAUCACGAUAGAAAGUAAAAGGCGGUAGGAGCUCCCGCUGUUACCUUUAUCCGUAUGUGCGUUCGUACGCUUUGCUUUCGUCUACAUUUAUCUCCGCUAUGCUGCUCAAGAGGAGAAAUAUAUGUAUAACAUCGGAGCGUAUAAUAUGUGGGCAAGAUUCGCGCAGCGGAUUACAAUUUCAUUUUCAUUUUCAUUUCGAUCAAGUUUAUUACGAUGUGAAUAAUUUCGAGAUGUUUUAAGUGGUGUAUAGUGAAAGCGAACAUCGGAAAUGGAUUGAAUCCUCGAUGUUUUCGACAGCCAUUGACAAUGAGAAAUUCCCAAACUCUCGUUGCGUUCGCAAUUAUUUUUCGUCGGGGUUAAACCGGAAGAAAAAAUUGCAACAAUAUUGCUUUCGUCUCGUUAAAUUCACUUUCGCUCGUCGAGAGCAGUUGUACAUUGAAAAAAAUAAAAUUCAAAUAAAGAAUCGAAAUAACGACGUAACCGUCGAGCGUUCACGGAGCGUCGUAAAAUAACGGGAGAGGAAACUCGAGUCACAAAAAAGCGGGGAGAACAAUCCUCGGGAGGUUCGCAACACUAACUGCUCGUAACUGCGACAGUUACUUCGAUCUAGAACUUUCCGUGAGAAUGACGCUAACAACAGUUUAAUUAAUUACACAAUUUACCAACAACCACGAACGUGCUCGUCAGACGAAAAUCACCUGUUAAAGCCUUUGAAGAACGUAAAAAAAUUAACGAGUAUGAUUACUGAAGUGAAUUUCGGAAUGUUCCUGGAUCCCCGGUUUUGGCGCUCUGAAAAAGCGACCCAAAAAAAAGACGAUUAAAUCCGCCGGAAUACUCGCAAAGUGAAAGUCCCUUAAAUCCGUCAAAAUAUUUCGAAUCAUUUCCCGAAAAAUUGAAGAUUUAGAGAAGAAAGCUGAGACAAAUGCAGAAAAAAGUGUUCGUUUCCUUGCUUCGUUAUGGAAGGGAAAUUUAUUGCGCACCCGCGACCAAGAGGCUAUUUCGAUAAAUCUUCCAAGUAUAGCAAGAGUCGGAACAAAGAGUUCAUUGUUGCAGAACGAAAAUACGACCCAUCCAAAAAUCGUUGGGAACAUUGAAUAUUGAAAAAAAUCGAGCUUGGAGAGAGUUCACGGGAUUACGAUCGCUGCACUUUCGUUUCGAAUGACUGACGUUUGUUACAAAAAUAAAUGAAAUAAAAAAAUAGUGAAACCGAGAA